AUACGUAGGGAGCGAGCGUUGUCCGGAUUUACUGGGUGUAAAGGGUGCGUAGGCGGGACUGCAAGUCAGACGUGAAAUACCGAGGCUUAACCUCGGGGCUGCGUUUGAAACUGUAGUUCUUGAGUGAAGUAGAGGCAGGCGGAAUUCCUAGUGUAGCGGUGAAAUGCGUAGAUAUUAGGAGGAACACCAGUGGCGAAGGCGACUUACUGGACUGUAACUGACGCUGAAGCACGAAAGCGUGGGGAGC
rnacentral:rRNA from 1 species